UAGGGAAUAUUGCACAAUGGGCGAAAGCCUGAUGCAGCAACGCCGCGUGCGCGAUGACGGCCUUCGGGUUGUAAAGCGCUUUUCGGGGAGAUGAGGAAGGACAGUAUCCCCGGAAUAAGGCUCGGCUAACUACGUGCCAGCAGCCGCGGUAACACGUAGGAGCCAAGCGUUAUCCGAAUUCACUGGGCGUAAAGCGCGUGUAGGCGGCUUGGUAAGUUGGAUGUGAAAGCUCCUGGCUUAACUGGGAGAGGUCGUUCAAAACUGCCGAGCUAGAGUGCGGGAGAGGGAGGUGGAAUUCCGGGUGUAGUGGUGAAAUGCGUAGAUAUCCGGAGGAACACCAGUGGCGAAAGCGGCCUCCUGGUCCGCAACUGACGCUCAGACGCGAAAGCUAGGGUAGCAAACG
rnacentral:rRNA from 1 species